ensembl:lncRNA
CUCGGAACGUCAGGCGUUAGCAUCGUAAAAGGAGAGCGCAUGCGCGGUUCAUGAUCGGCGCACAGGGUCCGCGCUCCUAUGAGACUCUAACCCCGCCACUGCUCUGACAGGAGGCGGGGCUGAGGCAGUAACGUGAGCGAUGGGAACUGGCUGUCCCACGGCAUAGCAGAUGGAGGUGGGAGAGAAGCCAUUGAAGGUGGAGCUCAUGACAGAUGUGUAGGCGCCCAUGAACUGGAAGACCAGCCAGUCGCCCACAUCCAGCUCCGGCAGCUGCACCUCCUUCAAGAAGAGCUUGUCAAAGGCAUCACACGUGGGGCCAAAGAGGGUGCAGGGGAAGAGCGGCAGCUUGGGGCUGAGCUCCUGCAGGGACACAGGGGUGGGGAAUCAGAGAAGACCCCCCGCACACACACACCCCUACCCACUCCUCAUCAAGCAGCACAUGCCCCAGGGCACCAGCAGAAAGGACACUAUCAUCCACCAACACUGACCAAUUCCUGAAUGGUCCCUGUGUGCCAGGCAUUGCUCUUAACCCGCCCUCACGGAGCUUAUGCUCUAGAGACUGACUCCAGCCCUGCCAAUUCACAAGUGCAGACACAGAUGGGACCUCAGCUUUCCCAUCUAUAAAGUGGGAAGAUUUUAUUUAAUAAUCACUCAAAAUGCUGGGCCUCAAACCUAGCUUCACUGAAAGUGCUUGAGGAGUUUUCAUAGAGGAUCAUGCCAGGGUCCCAACCCAUGAGAAAUUCCGAUAUCAGUGGUGUGGGGCCUGGUCCAGGCAGAGAAGUAUUAAAAUUUCCCAG